UUGACAGGUUCCAAAUUCAAAAUUGAAGUACUCUUUGUCUACGGAUACCGAAAGAAUAAAGUAUGUAAUUCUCCUUAUCUUUGUCCAAAUCAUAGAACAAUUCAAAUUUGAAAACUCUUAAAUUACUUUGAAUUACUUAUAUUAAAUAUGGUAGAAGAAAACUAGAUAUCAAAUGACGGAGAGUUGAACAUCAGAUGUGAUUGCUUUCUAUAAGGUCCUCUAACCUCUACCGCCCCCUAGACCGGCGCAAAAUACUAUUACUACAUGUUUAUUGUAGAACUGUGAGGAUAGGACGAAAACCGACUUUAGGGAUCGAGUAAUGCCAGUGGAAUUUCUAUACAAAAAAGGAUUUUAUAUGCAUGUUUUCAUGUUUUAUUUUGAUAAUAAAUUUAUUGAGUGUUGA